rnacentral:rRNA from 1 species
UACGUAGGGGGCAAGCGUUGUCCGGAUUUAUUGGGCGUAAAGAGCGUGUAGGCGGCCUGGUAGGUCGGUUGUGAAAACUCGAGGCUUAACCUCGAGACGUCGACCGAAACCACCUGGCUAGAGUCCGGGAAGAGGAGAGUGGAAUUCCUGGUGUAGCGGUGAAAUGCGCAGAUAUCAGGAAGAACACCGAUGGGCGAAGGCAGGUCUCUGGGCCGCAACUGGACGCUGAGGAGCGGAAAGCAUGGGGAGCGAACAGG